AUUGAACGCUGGCGGUAUGCUUAACACAUGCAAGUCGCACGGCAGCACAAUAGAGGGUAACCUUUAUGGGUGGCGAGUGGCGGACGGGUGAGUAAUACAUAGGAAUCUACCCUAGAGUUGGGGAUAACCCGGGGAAACCCGGGCUAAUACCGUAAUACACUCUACGGAGCAAAGAGGGCCUCUAUUUAUAAGCUCUCACUUUAGGAGGAGCCUAUGCCGGAUUAGCUAGUUGGUAGGGUAAAGGCCUACCAAGGCAACGAUCCGUAGCUGGUCUGAGAUGAUAAACAGCCAAACUGGGACGGGGACACGGCCAAGACCCUUACGGGAGGCAGCAGUGGGGAAUAUUGGACAAUGGGCGAAAGCCUGAUCCAGCAAUACCGCGUGUGUGAAGAAGGCCUUCGGGUUGUAAAGCACUUUUGCUAAAGAAGAAAUGGCGUAGGUUAAUAGCUGACGCAGUUGACUGUAUUUAGCGAAUAAGCACCGGCAAACUCUGUGCCAGCCGCCGCAGUAACAC
rnacentral:rRNA from 1 species